ACUCCUACGGGAGGCAGCAGUAAGGAAUAUUGGUCAAUGGAGGGAACUCUGAACCAGCCAUGCCGCGUGCAGGAUGACUGCCCUAUGGGUUGUAAACUGCUUUUGUCGGGGAAUAAACCUACGUUUGUAACCGUAGCUGAAUGUACCCGAAGAAUAAGGAUCGGCUAACUCCGUGCCAGCAGCCGCGGUAAUACGGAGGAUCCAAGCGUUAUCCGGAUUUAUUGGGUUUAAAGGGUGCGUAGGCGGUUCUUUAAGUCAGAGGUGAAAGACGGCAGCUUAACUGUCGCAGUGCCUUUGAUACUGAAGAGCUUGAAUAGGGUUGAGGAAUGCGGAAUGAGACAAGUAGCGGUGAAAUGCAUAGAUAUGUCUCAGAACCCCGAUUGCGAAGGCAGCAUUCCAAGCCUUUAUUGACGCUGAUGCACGAAAGCGUGGGGAUCGAACAGGAUUAGAUACCCUGGUAGUCCACGCCCUAAACGAUGAUAACUCGAUGUUGGCGAUAGACAGUCAGCGUCCCAGCGAAAGCGUUAAGUUAUCCACCUGGGGAGUAC
rnacentral:rRNA from 1 species